rnacentral:rRNA from 1 species
AGAGUUUGAUCAUGGCUCAGGAUGAACGCUAGCGGCAGGCCUAAUACAUGCAAGUCGUACGGGAUAAGUUGUAGCAAUACGACUUUGAGAGUGGCGUACGGGUGCGUAACACGUAUGCAACCUACCUUUAACUGGGGGAUAGCCCGGAGAAAUUCGGAUUAAUACCCCAUAAUAUAAUAACAGGGCAUCUUGUUAUUAUCAAAACUCCGGUGGUUAAAGAUGGGCAUGCGGCUGAUUAGCUAGUUGGUGAGGUAAUGGCUCACCAAGGCUACGAUCAGUAGGGGGUCUGAGAGGAUGUCCCCCCACACUGGUACUGAGACACGGACCAGACUCCUACGGGAGGCAGCAGUAGGGAAUAUUGGUCAAUGGACGAAAGUCUGAACCAGCCAUGCCGCGUGCAGGAUGACUGCCCUAUGGGUUGUAAACUGCUUUUAUACGGGAAGAAACCCCUGAACGUGUUCGGGGCUGACGGUACUGUAUGAAUAAGGAUCGGCUAACUUCGUG